rnacentral:rRNA from 1 species
CAGUCGCCGCGGUAAUACGUAGGGCGCAAGCGUUAAUCGGAAUUACUGGGCGUAAAGCGUGCGCAGGCGGUUUGUUAAGACAGAUGUGAAAUCCCCGGGCUCAACCUGGGAACUGCAUUUGUGACUGGCAGGCUAGAGUGUGUCAGAGGGGGGUGGAAUUCCACGUGUAGCAGUGAAAUGCGUAGAUAUGUGGAGGAACACCGAUGGCGAAGGCAGCCCCCUGGGAUAACACUGACGCUCAUGCACGAAAGCGUGGGGAGCAAACAGGAUUAGAUACCCGGUAGUCCCUGUCUCUUAUACC